GGCUGAAAGCAAUGAUGUUGCCAUUCAUCCUUUCACGUAUUCAUUAUGGUCUACAGCUGAGAAGGGCUAUUUGGGGUUUGCUUUGCCUGAUGGUAGCAGAAGAAAACCAAGAGGCCUCUCUACGAAAGCUUGCAGUAAGGAGAAAGUUCUGGAGACUGGGAAGAGCAACACAAAGAUAUUCAGUUGCUUGGUGAGAGCUGCUCUCUGCUUCCAAGGCGGCACCUUGUUGCUGCAUUCUCCAAUGGGAAGGAACGCUGGGUCCUCACAUGACAGAAGGUGGAAAGUUGGCUCCAAUUUGGCUCCUGUCCACUUCUCUACCGAAGAGCUCUCUUUAAAAUUAUUCAUGAUCUCUCUGUAACUAAAUGAAAUAAAUAUUUUUACCCUUUCUCUUA
ensembl:lncRNA LINC01435 long intergenic non-protein coding RNA 1435